ACUGCUCAGUACACGUGGAUAACCUGCCCUUGGGACCGGGAUAACCCCGGGAAACUGGGGAUAAACCCGGAUAGGUGAUGCUGCCUGGAAUGGUUCUUCACCGAAACACCUUCGGGUGCCCAAGGAUGGGUCUGCGGCCGAUUAGGUUGUUGGUAGGGUAACGGCCUACCAAGCCGAUCAUCGGUACGGGUUGUGAGAGCAAGAGCCCGGAGAUGGAACCUGAGACAAGGUUCCAGGCCCCUACGGGGCGCAGCAGGCGCGAAACCUCCGCAAUGCACGCAAGUGCGACGGGGGAACCCCAAGUGCCACUCUUAACGGGGUGGCUUUUCAGAAGUGUAAAAAGCUUCUGAAUAA
rnacentral:rRNA from 1 species